CCGCAUAAGCCCACAGGUCGGCAUCGACCAGAGGGAAAAGGAGCAAUCCGCUUUGAGAUGGCCUCGCGUCCGAUUAGCUAGUUGGUGAGGUAAUGGCCCACCAAGGCGACGAUCGGUAGCCGGACUGAGAGGUUGAACGGCCACAUUGGGACUGAGACACGGCCCAGACUCCUACGGGAGGCAGCAGUGGGGAAUAUUGCACAAUGGGGGAAACCCUGAUGCAGCGACGCCGCGUGGAGGAAGAAGGUCUUCGGAUUGUAAACUCCUGUUGUUGAGGAAGAUAAUGACGGUACUCAACAAGGAAGUGACGGCUAACUACGUGCCAGCAGCCGCGGUAAAACGUAGGUCACAAGCGUUGUCCGGAAUUACUGGGUGUAAAGGGAGCGCAGGCGGGAAGACAAGUUGGAAGUGAAAUCUAUGGGCUCAACCCAUAAACUGCUUUCAAAACUGUUUUUCUUGAGUAGUGCAGAGGUAGGCGGAAUUCCCGGUGUAGCGGUGGAAUGCGUAGAUAUCGGGAGGAACACCAGUGGCGAAGGCGGCCUACUGGGCACCAACUGACGCUGAGGCUCGAAAGUGUGGGUAGCAAACAGGAUUAGAUACCCUGGUAGUCCACACCGU
rnacentral:rRNA from 1 species